rnacentral:rRNA from 1 species
GAUGAACGCUGGCGGCGUGCCUAAUACAUGCAAGUCGAGCGAACAGACAAUGAGCGUGCUCCUUUGCCGUUAGCGGCUGACGGGUGAGUAACACGUACGUAACCUACCAAUAUUACUUGGAUAACUACGGGAAACCGCUUCCGAUACCACAUAAUAUUUCGAACCGCAUAAUUCAGUAGUGAAAGAUAGCUUGGCUAUCACUUUUAGAUGAUCCCGCGCCGUAUUAGCUAGUUGGUAAGGUAAAGGCUGACCAAGGCGACGAUCCGUAGCCGACCUGAGAGGGUGAUCGGCCACACUGGAACUGAGACACGGUCCAGACUCCUACGGGAGGCAGCAGUAGGGAAUAUUCCGCAAUGGGCGCAAGCCUGACGGAGCCACGCCGCGUGAGUGAUGAAGGUCUUCGGAUCGUAAAACUCUGUUAUUAGGGAAGAACAACAGUGUGAGUAACUGUGCACGUCUUGACGGUACCUAAUCAGAAAGCAACGGCUAACUUCGUG